AAUACGAAGGGACCUAGCGUAGUUCGGAAUUACUGGGCUUAAAGAGUUCGUAGGUGGUUGAAAUAGUUGGUGGUGAAAUCCCAGAGCUUAACUCUGGAACUGCCAUCAAAACUUUUCAGCUAGAGUAUGAUAGAGGAAAGCAGAAUUUCUAGUGUAGAGGUGAAAUUCGUAGAUAUUAGAAAGAAUACCAAUUGCGAAGGCAGCUUUCUGGAUCAUUACUGACACUGAGGAACGAAAGCAUGGGUAGCGAAGAGGAUUAGAUACCCUCGUAGUCCAUGCCGUAAACGAUGUGUGUUAGACGUUGGAAAUUUAUUUUCAGUGUCGCAGGGAAACCGAUAAACACACCGCCUGGGGAGUACGACCGCAAGGUUAAAACUCAAAUGAAUUGACGGGGACCCGCACAAGUAGUGGAGCAUGUGGUUUAAUUCGAAGAUACGCGCAGAACCUUACCAACACUUGACAUGUUCGUCGCGACUUUAAGAGAUUAGAGUUUUCGGUUCGGCCGGACGAAACACAGGUGCUGCAUGGCUGUCGUCAGCUCGUGUCGUGAGAUGUUGGGUUAAGUCCCGCAACGAGCGCAACCCUCACUUUUAGUUGCCAUCAUUUAGUUGGGCACUCUGAAAGAACUGCCAGUGAUAAGCUGGAGGAAGGUGGGGAUGACGUCAAGUCCUCAUGGCCCUUACGUGUUGGGCUACACACGUGCUACAAUGGUAUCUACAACAGGAAGCAAAACUGCGAAGUUAAGCAAAUCCCGAAAAGAUACCUCAGUUCGGAUUGCACUCUGCAACUCGAGUGCAUGAAGCUGGAAUUACUAGUAAUCGUGGAUCAGCGUGCCACGGUGAAUGCGUUCCCGGGUCUUGUACACACCGCCCGUCACACCAUGGGAGUUGGUUCUACCUUAAGGCAAGGUUUCAAACCCUUGACCACGGUAUAGUCAGCGACUGG
rnacentral:rRNA from 1 species